rnacentral:rRNA from 1 species
AUGAGGUCUGGCCUGCCCACUGAAUUGGAUUUAAAUGGCCGCGGUAUAUCUGACCGUGCAAAGGUAGCAUAAUCAAUAGUCUCUUAAUUGGAGGCUUGAAUGAAUGGCCGGACAUAAGGGGUACUGUCUAUCGGUCAGCCGGGAUGAAUUUAACUUUUGUGUGAAAAGGCAUUAAUGUCUUAGGGGGACGAUAAGACCCUAUAAAACUUGAUGGUUGAUCUAAUUCUAGUGAUUUGAGGUGUAAGGAGAGGUCUUGGGGGUGCUAUUGUACUGGGGCGGUAGGAAUAAAAUCUAUUAACUGUUCUUGGUGGAGUAAUAAUUAUGAUUAGGAUUUGACCCUGAAGUUUGGGUUAAAAGAUUAAGUUACUUUAGGGAUAACAGCGUUAUAUCUCUUGAGAGUCCAUAUCGACAGAGAUGUUUGCGACCUCGAUGUUGAAUUAAAAUUUCCCCCGGGGGCAGAGGUUCGGGUGGUAGGUCUGUUCGACCUU